rnacentral:rRNA from 1 species
CCUANGGGUGGCAGCAGUCGAGGAUUUUUCUCAAUGGGCGAAAGCCUGAAGGAGCGACGCCGCGUGGGGGAUGAAGGUCUUCGGAUUGUAAACCCCUGUCACUUGGGAACAAAUUGGAUUACCUAACACGUCAUCCAUUGAUAGUACCAGGAGAGGAAGACGUGGCUAACUCUGUGCCAGCAGCCGCGGUAAUACAGAGACGUCGAGCGUUGUUCGGAUUCAUUGGGCGUAAAGGGUGCGUAGGCGGUGAGGUAAGUUGGAUGUGAAAUCUCAGGGCCUAACCCUGAAAGUGCAUCCAAAACUGCCUUGCUUGAGGACUGGAGGGGAGACUGGAAUUCUCGGUGUAGCGGUGAAAUGCGUAGAUAUCGAGAGGAACACCAGUGGCGAAGGCGGGUCUCUAGACAGUUCCUGACGCUGAGGCACGAAAGCCAGGGUAGCAAACGGGAUUAGAUACCCCANUANUC